rnacentral:rRNA from 1 species
AACAAACGCUGGCGGCGUGCCUAAUACAUGCAAGUCGAACGGGGAAAGUAGCAAUAUGAGUACUAGUGGCGCACGGGUGAGUAAUGCGUGGAUAAUCUGCCUUCGAGUGGGGGAUAACUAGUCGAAAGAUUAGCUAAUACCGCAUAAGACCACAGGAUCUGAGGAUCUAGGGGUUAAAGGUUUUUCGCUUGAAGAUGAGUCCGCGUGAGAUUAGCUAGUUGGUGAGGUAAUGGCUCACCAAGGCAACGAUCUCUAGCUGGUCUGAGAGGAUGAUCAGUCACACUGGAACGGAGACACGGUCCAGACUCCUACGGGAGGCAGCCGAAGGGAAUAUUGCACAAUGGAGGAAACUCUGAUGCAGCGACGCCGCGUGAGUGAUGAAGGCCUUCGGGUCGUAAAGCUCUGUCGCAGGGGAAUAACACAAUGAAUGUACCCUGUAAGAAAGGAUCGGCUAACUUCGUGCCAGCCGCCGCCGUAACAC